rnacentral:rRNA from 1 species
UACGUAGGUGGCGAGCGUUGUCCGGAUUUACUGGGCGUAAAGGGAGCGUAGGCGGACUUUUAAGUGAGAUGUGAAAUACCCGGGCUCAACUUGGGUGCUGCAUUUCAAACUGGAAGUCUAGAGUGCAGGAGAGGAGAAUGGAAUUCCUAGUGUAGCGGUGAAAUGCGUAGAUAUUAGGAGGAACACCAGCUGCGAAGGCGGCUCUCUGGACUGUAACUGACACUGAGGCACGAAAGCGUGGGGAGCAAACAGGAUUAGAUACCCGU